rnacentral:lncRNA from 1 species
UGAAAUACAGCUAUUUAAAGUCCAAGAGUGUAAUCCACACGAGCCAGCGAUUUUCUCACUUGAGUUGGUGCCAGCACGAUCUCGAUCAACGGUGGUGUUUUUGGCAGCUUUGAGCGCUUCGUAGAUGUGACAUGGCACGUAGUAUGAGAAAAUUAUCUCGUCUUAGGGUCCUUCUUCCAUCCUUGGAGCAGAACGCCGCAGAUCUCGCGGUUGUCCAGCAGACACGUGUGCUCCAUGCCGCAUGUCCGCAAAUAUAUUAUCACCACAGCUCACCGUGGAGGUCUAGGAGUGUUUGCAGCGAACAAGUGGUGAAAAUCUCUGCACUGACCAAGCCUUCGCCUU